AAGCUGAAGCCUCGGAGCUUGGACACAGCGGCGAGCAGGAGCGGGAGGUCGUGUGAACCGUCAGGGAUCUAUUUCAUCUUAGUUUUCUGAGUUUGGUGUAACGUGCGCGACCCUCGUCCUCAUCGUCGUGAUUACAAAGACGUCGGCAAAGCGAGGAGGUUAGCAGGUGACAGGUGAGCCGCCCUCCAGCCAAGGCCACGUCCGAAGCUUCAUGUUCCACGGGCAAUCGUCACCCAACACUGGCCGCUCCAGAAGGCAGCACUGCUUGCCAAGCUGCAUCAUGAUCACCAGAGACUUCCAAAUAAAGAAACGGUGGAGGCCACAGCACCUGAAAGAGAGGUGACAUUCCAUGGAUAGAGACAAAAGACCACCGCCUCCCUCGCCUUCUGCCUGACUACCAAGGCAGCCCCACAGCUGAAUCUGCUGCUGCUCUUCGACACUGCUUGUAAUGGAUGCUGCGUCCACUUGUAGAACGUCGACAUCUGCCAACGGAAGAAUAUCAUCUGGAAGAACACCUAUACGUAUCACAACGUUUCCUUUCCAUUAUGAUGCUGGUGAACCCUAGCGGCCUUGCCUGCUAUGUUGGGGUAGGUGCUCGUCGCCAGCUGGCCGUUAACUCUUGUGGGAGGGAUGGGCCGGAGCUCCAGGAGGUAAGGUGAAUGGCUGCCUG